rnacentral:rRNA from 1 species
GACAGAGGGUGCAAACGUUUGUUCGGAAUUACUGGGCGUAAAGCGCGUGUAGGCGGCUAAGUAAGUCGGGCGUGAAAUCCCACGGCUCAACCGUGGAAGUGCACUCGAAACUGCAUAGCUAGAGUCCUGGAGAGGAAGGUGGAAUGCUUGGUGUAGAGGUGAAAUUCGUAGAUAUCAAGCGGAACACCGGUGGCGAAGGCGGGUCUCUGGGCAGUAACUGACGCUGAGGAGCGAAAGUGUGGGGAGCGAACAGG